UUCUCCUCCCCCACAAACACACUUGUAGGUGUAAAAAGGAUAUGCACGCGCGCGUAUACAUUGGUGCACGUAACACUUAAUUAAUACGUAGCUUUUGGACGUAGCUUUUCUACACUUGCUUGACGACGCCUCGGGAGAGGCCUCCAAAACAUCCAUCUUGUCGAUCAGCUCGUCGUCGCCCAUCCCAGGUAUCAUCUCCGUCCAGGAGUCCAUCGGCGGCGCGCGUACGUCCUCGGUCCAAAUAAAAAGUGUAAUGGGGCGCCUCCGUUGUGGGUCGUUGGCCGAACCCUCACCGCUCCAUUUCCACCCGCCUUCACGCCUCCACUCCACUUCAAUGGAUGAAGCCUAUAAAACGGGAGCACCCCCGGCGGCCAUUGCCAAGCACCAGUCCACUCAUCAUCGCCAUCUCUUCUCUUCUCUUCUCUUCUCUUGCUCGCUGAUCUAUACAUACCAGAGAGGUAGUAGCUAGCUAGUGGUGAGCAUACAAUAUAAUCAGCAGCAAGAUAGUAAUGGCGCAGCAGCAGGGAAGAGGCAGUGGUGCUGUGGCCCUUGCGGCGGUGCUCCUCUGCGUGCUCCUUCAUGCCCACGUCGCGGGAGUCGGCCGUGUUCACCGUCGGCGACCGUGGCGGCUGGAGCUUCAGCACCAGCACCUGGACUAAUGGCAAGCGCUUCAAGGCUGGGGACGUCCUAGUGUUCAAGUACGACUCGACGGCGCACAACGUGGUGGCGGUGAACGCGGCUGGCUACAAAGGCUGCUCGGCGCCGCGAAGUGCCAAGGUGUACACGUCCGGCAACGACCGCGUCACGCUGGCCCGCGGCACCAACUACUUCAUCUGCAGCAUCCCCGGCCACUGCCAGUCCGGCAUGAAGAUCGCCGUGCCGCGGGCUACAUACAUCUACCUAUCGACUGCCUGAUUGUCAGUUCGAGUGGCUUGUAUCGACUCCCUGAUUGUUAUAUAUGAAUAAAACACACACCAUCAUGACU